rnacentral:rRNA from 1 species
UCCACGCCGUAAACGAUGGAUGCUAGCUGUGGGGGGUAUCGACCCCCUCCGUAGCGAAGCUAACGCGUUAAGCAUCCCGCCUGUGGAGUACGGCCGCAAGGCUAAAACAUAAAGGAAUUGACGGGGACCCGCACAAGCGGUGGAGCGUGUUCUUUAAUUCGAUGAUAAACGAAGAACCUUACCAGGGCUUGACAUCCCGAGAAUUACUCCGAAAGGAGUGAGUGCUUUAUUGAACUCGGUGACAGAUCUUGCAUGGCCGUCGUCAGCUCGUGUCGUGAGAUGUUUGGUUAAGUCCAUCAA